rnacentral:rRNA from 1 species
AGUGAACGCUGGCGGUAGGCCUAACACAUGCAAGUCGAACGGCAGCACAGUAAGAGCUUGCUCUUACGGGUGGCGAGUGGCGGACGGGUGAGGAAUACAUCGGAAUCUACUUUUUCGUGGGGGAUAACGUAGGGAAACUUACGCUAAUACCGCAUACGGCCUACGGGUGAAAGCAGGGGAUCUUCGGACCUUGCGCGAUUGAAUGAGCCGAUGUCGGAUUAGCUAGUUGGCGGGGUAAAGGCCCACCAAGGCGACGAUCCGUAGCUGGUCUGAGAGGAUGAUCAGCCACACUGGAACUGGGACACGGUCCAGACUCCUACGAGAGGCAGCAGUGGGGAAUAUUAGACAAUGGGCGCAAGCCUGAUCCAGCCAUACCGCGUGGGUGAAGAAGGCCUUCGGGUUGUAAAGCCCUUUUGUUGGGAAAGAAAAGCAGCAGGUUAAUACCCCGCUGUUCUGACGGUACCCAAAGAAUAAGCACCGGCUAACUUCGUG